AAACUUGAGAGUUUGAUCCUGGCUCAGAACGAACGCUGGCGGCAGGUCUUAGGCAUGCAAGUCGAACGGGUGUAGCAAUACAUCAGUGGCGCACGAGUGAGUAACGCGUGGGAAGCUGCCCUUCACUGGGGAAUAACGUUUGGAAACGAACGCUAAUACCGCAUACGCCUGACCACUUAAAUUUUUUUAUCAUAAUAGAUUUUGCGAACGCAAAACCGGAAAAUUUAAGCGG
rnacentral:rRNA from 1 species